GUGGCAAUAGUAGGGAAUAACUUGUUAUUAGUAUUUGCUGACUAUUUUUAGCCUGAUGCUGAAGGCCUGAGGUUGCUUUAGAGGACCUGUCAUGGUAAUAUGUGUCCUUGAAGGAGAACUUUCCUAUGGCCUCACACUGCCCUGUGGAAGCUGGCAGGAGCCUGGCUGAGUCCCACUGGGAGAAAGCUGAGGAACAGCAAGGAAAAGCCUCCUGAAGGAUGGGUAAAGUGAAGCUCAUUCAGGGAAAUCCUCACUCCCAGGGAGAGCCAAGAGUUUCCUGAAGAAGAGGGAAUUCAGGACCCUGGAGUGGCUGAAGACAGGUCAGUGGGGGUAGGAAUGCUGUUCCUACAGCUGCACUGAAACCCUGCACAAUCCUGUGGGUGUAAAUUAGGGAAACAGCCUGAAAAAGCAGGUUUUCCUGAGCCACAGGGCUAUAAUUUGCUUUAUGUGAGAUGUUUUCACAUUUUCCUUGAAUUUUAUGUCCAAACAAACCUCAUUACAGGAGCAGGGAUGUACCAGUAACUGUAGACAACCUGACCUACCCUGAAGCUAUGAGUGUUCAGACUGAAAGAUGUUUUGGGUUUGUUGGUUUUGUUUUUUUUUUUGAGAGGAAGGGCCCUGAACUCCUGCCAUAUCCAAGGAUGAGAGCAGAGGUGGCAGGAGAGGGCAGUGGGAGAUGCUGUGGAGCAGGAGGUGCCCGGGGCAGGCAGGCUGAGAGGAGCAGCCGAACCCACAGCUUCCUAAAACAUCUCCUAAAGCCUCCUGGCUUCCCUCCCAAUGCUGGGAACAUUUGGAAGGGGGAGCAGAGCCUGGUUGGUUUCAGUUCUGCUUGACUCUGCUUCGUGGGAAUGUGAAGGCUUCGGAUGACGCACCGUUCUCAGGAGAUGGUGCAGGAGAGGGUGGAUGGAUGGAAUUUAUGGGGAAAAUCCAGUGAAAACUGU